ensembl:lncRNA
AAUGAAUCAUCAAUUAAUCUUCACAAGAUGGUACAGUGGAUUUUACUGUUAAAAUAUCAUAAACUUGUGUCAUGUUGUUCGUGCCCAACAAGCAUGACUAGCAUGUGUAUGCAUGAAUGUUGCAGUCCAUAUAGCAUGCUCUAAUGUAAUGGCUCCGUUAGUCACUUUGGUUAAUGUCACUUGCACAUUUGGAGGAAAGCAGGUUUGUGGCAUGACAAUUGACUGUGAUGUAUUGCAGGCUGAGCGUCUACUGGAGAAGGAGCGGCAGGAGGAUCAGAGGAGAAGGGAGGAGUUUGAGCAGGACCGCCUCAGCCACGAUGUUACUGGAAUAUGAUCCCUGGAUGACUCCCAAGAACACAGGAGAGGUUUCUUCAGAAUUUCGAGAGAAAGCUUCAUCAGCGUCCACCACUGCUAUAUGCACGUCAUCCAGGGUAAAAUGGUGUCCAAAUCAUAUAUGUUUUGCUAACUCUGUGCAGCAGUGGGUCUAUGCAUGCAUGUGCUCUAUGCAUCCUAGGAGUCAGUGCUAACUCUCAUAUGUGUGGCGUCAGAGAAUCUGUGUGGUAUUUCACACAAGUAGAUCUGCAUUUGUAGACUGUUUUCUGAGUAAAUACCCUUAUGUGCAGAGUUUUCAUCGUCUGAGGCCACACGGAUAUUAAACUGUAUCCCAUGUAGGUCGGGAGUUUACAUUUAUCUACUGGUCAUACAUGGAGCACACACCAGUACAGUAAGAUCACAGAUGAGUAAAAGGAACAAAAAUACACCGAUAAAUAUGCCAGUGUUUUUGGGGAGUUUCCUAUUAUUUUUUUGUUUUGUUUGGGGUUUUUUUAUUCUUGUUACUUGUCAGUAUUGUCUUUCUACCUCUUUCAGCCUCUGUUGUUUUUUAAUGUCUGCUUCCUUUUGUCUUUUCUCAGCCUCUCUUCCUCUCUGAAUGUUGGUUUUCUUGGAAGGAAGCGGUGGAAGGCUAGGAAAGUUCAAGGGACUUCCCAGAGUUCACACUGAGCAGAGACAGAGACACAACAUGACAUGACUGCAAGGCUUCAGCUCUUUCAGAUCGACGUCACAGAUAAAGAGAUGAAAGCUUCCAGCCGCAGAGCAGCAAAAGGCAAACUUCUUCAUGUGGUUCUGACCAAGACCCUGGGAACUGUUGUUCUUUCAGCACUGGCUCCAUAAGACAGAUUGACCUCCCCUUCAUAUCCUCUAUUUGUAGGCGGGUGCUUGUGUGUUUGAGUGGGAGAUUUGAUACUAAGCUUUGAUGCAGCAGAGGGCUGACACAGCAGAACAACAUAGUGGGAGUUGAGAAAUUAUCCUCACCUCAAAGAGGCACCAUGAGGACAGCAGGAGGUGAUGUCAGUGGGAGAG